UCCGGUUUGUCACCGGCAGUCUCCCUAAAGUUCUCAGCUUUACCUGUUAGCAACUAGGGACAAGGGUUGCGCUCGUUACGGGACUUAACCCAACAUCUCACGACACGAGCUGACGACAGCCAUGCAGCACCUGUCUCUUGGUUCCCGAAGGCACUCCCGCAUCUCUGCAGGAUUCCAAGGAUGUCAAAGGUAGGUAAGGUUCUUCGCGUUGCAUCGAAUUAAACCACAUGCUCCACCGCUUGUGCGGGCCCCCGUCAAUUUCUUUGAGUUUUAACCUUGCGGCCGUACUCCCCAGGCGGAGAACUUAACGCGUUAGCUUCGAUACUAGAGAGUAAAUCUCUCCAACAUCUAGUUCUCAUCGUUUACGGCGUGGACUAC
rnacentral:misc_RNA from 1 species